CAAUGUUGUACUUCACACGAUGC
rnacentral:siRNA from 1 species